rnacentral:rRNA from 1 species
UGGGGGAUAUUGCACAAUGGGCGAAAGCCUGAUGCAGCGACGCCGCGUGGGGGAUGAAGGCCUUCGGGUUGUAAACUUCUUUUGCUCUGAACAAGGCGCACCAUGGGGUGUGUUGAGUGUAGGGGUUGAUUAGCGCCGGCUAACUACGUGCCAGCAGCCGCGGUAAUACGUAGGGCGCGAGCGUUGUCCGGAAUUAUUGGGCGUAAAGGGCUUGUAGGUGGCUGGUUGCGUCUGUCGUGAAAGCUCAUGGCUUAACUGUGGGUUUGCGGUGGGUACGGGCUGGCUUGAGUGCAGUACUGGAGGCUGGAAUUCCUGGUGUUGCGGUGGAAUGCGCAGAUAUCAGGAGGAGUACCGGUGGCGAAGGCGGGUCUCUGGGCUGUUACUGACACUGAGGAGCGAAAGCAUGGGGAGCGAGCAGG